rnacentral:rRNA from 1 species
UACGGGGGGGGCAAGCGUUGUUCGGAAUUACUGGGCGUAAAGGGCUCGUAGGUGGCCAACUAAGUCAGACGUGAAAUCCCUCGGCUUAACCGGGGAACGGCAUCUGAUACUGGAUGGCUUGAGAUUGGGAGAGGGAUGCGGAAUUCCAGGUGUAGCGGUGAAAUGCGUAGAUAUCUGGAGGAACACCGGUGGCGAAGGCGGCAUCCUGGACCAACACUGACGCUGAGGAGCGAAAGCCAGGGGAGCAAACGGG